GACGAACGCUGGCGGCGUGCUUAACACAUGCAAGUCGAACGAUGAAACCUAGCUUGCUAGGUCGAUUAGUGGCGAACGGGUGAGUAACACGUGACUAACCUGCCCCUUUCUCUGGGAUAACGCUCCGAAAGGAGUGCUAAUACCGGAUACUCACAUCGAGGCACAUGCCUUGGUGUGGAAAGUUUUUCGGAAAGGGAUGGAGUCGCGGCCUAUCAGCUUGUUGGUGAGGCAACGGCUCACCAAGGCGACGACGGGUAGCCGGCCUGAGAGGGCGACCGGCCACACUGGGACUGAGACACGGCCCAGACUCCUACGGGAGGCAGCAGUGGGGAAUAUUGCACAAUGGGCGCAAGCCUGAUGCAGCGACGCCGCGUGAGGGAUGAAGGUCUUCGGAUUGUAAACCUCUUUCAGUAGGGACGAAGCGAAAGUGACGGUACCUAAAGAAGAAGCACCGGCUAACUACGUGCCAGCCGCCGCCGUAAAAC
rnacentral:rRNA from 1 species